GCGCCUGAAGAGGAGCCUGCGGCGGAUUAGCUAGUUGGUGAGGUAACGGCUCACCAAGGUAACGAUCCGUAGCCGGCCUGAGAGGGCGGUCGGCCACACUGACACUGACAUACGGGUCAG
rnacentral:rRNA from 1 species